GAACCAUACAUUUUUUUUUAAAAGAAAGAAGAGAGUUGAGAAACUUUAUUAGUUCUUCUAAACCUUCUUGCCUCUGUGUCAGAGGUCAAGGCUAGGGAAGAUUAAGACAAUUGUCUUUAUCAUAACUAUGUCCAAAUGAACCUUGUGCAAAAAAAAGAAAAUGUCCUGUUGUCAUUGUUCAAUAUGAUGGCCACAGCCAAGAUGUUGAGAUGUGAGAUGUCACCAGUACAAAGAAGGAUUAUUUUUGAGACAGAAGUAGUUUUUGCCAUAGAGCCCAAGAUAUAGCCUUAAAGUGUUGGCUAUUUCUUGCCUCGGCGUGUUCAGUGAUGAAAUUGAAAUGAAAGGAAGCACCUUUUAAUCCAAUUAAAUUUAAUUUUAAAUAAUACCAAUAAAAUUAUGGUCAAAGCCAUCACCUUAAAGUCUCGACUGAGGCGGAAGGAUGAACUCACAUGCAUUCUUUUCACAAGUCAGCAGUGGGUUUGUUGUAUGCAUGGAGACCAGGGCUUCCAUUCAUCCUUUCAUUGUCACCUUGGUUUUCUUUCUGAGACAAAGUCUCCUGUUGCUCAGACAGGCCUCAGCCACACUAUGUAAUGAUGUGGACCUUGAAGUCCUUGUUCUUUUAUCAACAUCUCCUGUUACAGUCAUGAACCACCACACCCAACUACCUCCAUUACUCUGUGGAGAAUUCCAAAGUAAAGUAACUGUGCUCAGUGUUGCUAGGUUACCAUGCUGGUCUGGGGUCGGAGCUUUGGAUUAGCAUAGCAAUGUCCCCCUUCAACAACCAAAUCUGUGCUGACCACUAAGAAUAUAAUACUUAUUUUUCCCCUUCUCUACUAGUGGAGGCAAUAAAAAUUGAACAAAUGGAUAUUUACAUAUCAUGAUUGAAUGCUUACUAGAUUUGUUGAAGAACAAUAUGGGCCUUUGAUACAUACCCUCUUGUUGGGAAAAUAAAGUUGACCAAAGAGUAGUCCUUAUCCAACACAGUGACUUUGGUUUCCUCUUUGGAAAAUACUGGCACAGACCCAAAUUCUUCUGAAGGUUGUUUUCAGCUCUAAUGCUUUCUGCUUUAUGCCACCAUGAAAAUAUGAUUUCCUAUUGCGUAGGGCUCCAUACUCUUAACAGAUGGUUUGUUUCUUUAGUUUCCAGAUCUCUGUAACUCUUUGUGAGAUGGUUUCUCCUUAGCUAUGAAUGUGAACAAAGCAACUUAAUUGGGCAAGUAACUAGCUGGAUGGUCCAGGAAAGCCAAUCUCCCUCUGGAGUAUGCUUUCUCUACUUAUAUUGGUUUGUUGUACCUCAGUUCAAAAGGUGUAUAUUCUUAGUAUCUCAAAACAUAAAGCAACUUAACUAUUGCUUCAUGCCCUGUCCUGUGGAUAUCAGUGUAUAUGACAUACUGUACCUACUACAGCUAUGGAAUCAUUGGAAUAAGUACUAAAUCCUUCUCCUGGGAACAUCUGCCUUCAUUAGUAAAUUCUCUCAUGAUGAGACAUACGGUGGUUUUUCUGCUGCAUAUCAUUGUGGAAUUCAAUUCUGUAUCUACCACUGAAUCUCUAACACGGACUUGUGAGUUGGGUUAUUUGAAACUGAGAUGGAUAGCCUCUUCCAAGAAAAUGAGGUCAAGUUCACCUGAGGUCUAAACUCUACCUAACAGUUUUUAGGGUGGCAGACUAUUGUGGUUCUGAUUCAUACGAAAACAAGCCUGCAGGAAGAAUAAAAUAUACACCUACCCACAGGCCACCAUGAGUGUCCAGUGCCCAACCGUCUCAUCCUGGUUAACUGUAGAAUGUACUGUAGUUCUGUAGCUGUGAACCUUCACAACUUCUCCCACCUCAAAAUACUUUCCCUCGGUUCCUUCAGAUCGCAUGCUGCAUGGGGUGAAGGGGCUGCCUGGCUUUCAGGAUCCGAAUGCUGUUUUGCAAGGCUUGCCCUGAGCUCUGAGGGCUCGGACUUCUCCAGUUUUUCUUUGUACAGUCAGCACAUGGCAUAUGUUCAUGGAUGGACUGAUCAGUUCCAGAGGCCAGGGACCAAGGUGCAGGAGUAAGAAAGAUAGCUGCGGCUCCUGCUUUGGCAGAAGUGAAGCUGUAGCUGAGCAAGCAGGUAUUCAGUCCAAAGAGUUCUGUGUGAAACGGGAACUGGGGAGUGCCUUUUGAGAGUCUGCCAUGGGGACCUAACCUAGUCUCAGAGGUCAAAGGCUUCCCUAAGGAAGUAACAUUCAGGCUGAACCCUGAGUGAUAAGUGAGAGAAUGUAUGAAAGAGAACAGACUUGUGAUAAGUCUCUGCUAGUGAGUGGAUAGCUGAUAUGUCUGCUUCACUCCAUGGUAAGUCACUCCAGGGCCUUGCUAAAUUAGGUGUCAGAAGCUUAGUCAUUCUAACCAUGGUCCUUGAAGGCACGAUCUGUGUGGCUGCAAAGUCAUCCUCUCUGCCACUUUCUUAUUUGAUAAAGGCAAGUAGAGUGUAAUGAAGAAUAAUAUGAAAAGACAAUUAUCCUUGCAUGUGUUAUCAGACUAGCAUUCACUGAGUACAUGAAGAGGGUGUUUAGGCUAUCAAUCAUACCCCUCUAACAUGUAGUGCAUCCAGAGACCCCACGGGUAAGAUGCCUCCUGAAAGCUGACUUCUUUCUGUCUUGGAAGGCGCCAGCCUUGUUUCAGCUUGCUGUAACUUCCCACUGGUAAAGCCAGGCCUUUCCUGGACAGCCAGAGGUCUCGAACUUCACUCGCAGACUUUGAUAUGAAACACUCUCUGACGGGGCCUGGAUCUCCCCUGCCUUAGGUUUUCUCAACUGCAGAUCAUGGAGAUUCUACCAAUGAUAUUUUUACCUCAAAGUGGUGUCGUAAUGAAGAUGGCAGUAAAAGUAUUUUGCAAGAUC
rnacentral:lncRNA from 1 species